AGCAGCCGCGGUAAUUCCAGCUCCAAUAGCGUAUAUUAAAGUUGUUGCAGUUAAAAAGCUCGUAGUUGAAUUUCGGGAUCAAUACGUCGGUCGUGCUUCGGUACGUACUGGCGUAAUUGAUUUCUCCCUUCUGACGAACCAUGAUGUCAUUAACUUGGUGUCAUGGGAAAUCAGGACUGUUACUUUGAAAAAAUUAGAGUGUUUAAAGCAAGCUAACGCUUGAAUACAUUAGCAUGGAAUAAUGAAAUAGGACGUUCGAUCCUAUUUUGUUGGUUUCUAGGAUUGACGUAAUGAUUAAUAGGGAUAGUUGGGGGCAUUAGUAUUCAAUUGUCAGAGGUGAAAUUCUUGGAUUUAUUGAAGACUAACUACUGCGAAAGCAUUUGCCAAGGAUGUUUUCAUUAAUCAAGAACGAAAGUUAGGGGAUCGAAGACGAUCAGAUACCGUCGUAGUCUUAACCAUAAACUAUGCCGACUAGGGAUCGGAUGAUGUUAAUUUUUAAUGACUCAUUCGGCGCCUUAAC
rnacentral:rRNA from 1 species